GAGAGNACCGGAGUGGACGCAUCCCUGGUGUUCGGGUUGUCAUGCCAAUGGCACUGCCCGGUAGCUAAAUGCGGAAGAGAUAAGUGCUGAAAGCAUCUAAGCACGAAACUUGCCCCGAGAUGAGUUCUCCCUGACUCCUUGAGAGUCCUGAAGGAACGUUGAAGACGACGACGUUGAUAGGCCGGGUGUGUAAGCGCAGCGAUGCGUUGAGCUAACCGGUACUAAUGAACCGUGAGGCUUAACCUUACAACGCCGAAGGUGUUU
rnacentral:rRNA from 1 species